GUGCUGGCCAUUGUCUUUUUCUUCUUAUUAAGAUACUUGUCGUAUGCUAAGCAAACCCCUGGAAGGAAAUGAGCAGCAUGCUCGAGUCAGCCACUGCUGUCAGUCACCUUCAGACAGCA
rnacentral:snoRNA from 14 species